rnacentral:rRNA from 1 species
CUCGUUCAUUUUUUGUCUUGACCCAAGCAUGCCCAGAAAGCAUGUUUAUCCUCAAUUGAGGAUAGUGGAUUGUGUGAAAGCACAUUCGUAUGAUAUGAUUGAGAGUUGGCACUCAAUGUAUCUCUAAAAAAGCCAAUGGCUUAUUUACAACUUUCAGCAAUGGAUCUCUUGGUUCUCGCAUCGAUGAAGAACGCAGUGAAAUGCGAUAACUGGUGUGAAUUGCAUCUAUGUAACUCUAAUUUACGAAUAACACCAAGUGAAUCAUCGAGUCUUUGAACGCAAUUGCGCCCUCUCGGUCGCUUCCAAUUGGGGGUUGACUCAUAGGGGGUACAUCUGUUUGAGGGUCAUUUGUACCUUCUCAAAGGAUUUUUUAUUAUUAUUAUUAUUAAAGAACCUUUGGAUUUGGGUCUUGCUGUGAUCAUCUCUCAGCUGACCUUGAAAGCAUUAGCAAGCUUUUUCUGAGUCUUUUCUAGAUGAGGCGUUCUAAACAGUUGACGUCUUCACAAUAAAAAGAACAGAGUGCUUAAGCCUGCUUCUAAUCAUACGGCCAUUA